rnacentral:snoRNA from 14 species
UCCAGCAGUUGUCAGCUGCCCAGGCUGUGUGGUGCCUGUGAUUGUGUUACACUGUUGGAAGAGCAAAGGCUGCUUUAGAAGGGUUGGCUCCAAGCACUGUUUUGGUGUUUGGUGCUGAGUACCUUCAGGCAGUGUAUUGCAUCCCUGAGAGUGGAAUGACUCCUUGUGGAGUUGGUCCUAGUCUAGGUGCGAACAAU